CGCGGCCUAUCAGCUUGUUGGUGAGGUAAUGGCUCACCAAGGCGAUGACGGGUAGCCGGCCUGAGAGGGUGACCGGCCACACUGGGACUGAGACACGGCCCAGACUCCUACGGGAGGCAGCAGUGGGGAAUAUUGCACAAUGGGCGCAAGCCUGAUGCAGCAACGCCGCGUGCGGGAUGACGGCCUUCGGGUUGUAAACCGCUUUUAGUAGGGAAGAAGGGCUUCGGCUUGACGGUACCUGCAGAAAAAGGACCGGCUAACUACGUGCCAGCAGCCGCGGUAAUACGUAGGGUCCGAGCGUUGUCCGGAAUUAUUGGGCGUAAAGAGCUCGUAGGCAGUUUGUCGCGUCUGCUGUGAAAACUAGAGGCUCAACCUCUAGCCUGCAGUGGGUACGGGCAGACUUGAGUGCGGUAGGGGAGAAUGGAAUUCCUGGUGUAGCGGUGGAAUGCGCAGAUAUCAGGAGGAACACCGAUGGCGAAGGCAGUUCUCUGGGCCGUAACUGACGCUGAGGAGCGAAAGCAUGGGGAGCGAACAGGAUUAGAUACCCUGGUAGUCCAUGCCGUAAACGUUGGGCGCUAGGUGUGGGGUCCUUCCACGGAUUCCGUGCCGCAGCUAACGCAUUAAGCGCCCCGCCUGGGGAGUACGGA
rnacentral:rRNA from 1 species